GUCUUUUUGAUAAUAAUUUAAAGUCUAACCUGCCCAAUGAAAAUUUAAAUGGCCGCAGUAUUUUGACUGUGCAAAGGUAGCAUAAUCAUUAGUUUUUUAAUUGAAAGCUUGUAUGAAUGGUUGAACGAGAAAAUAACUGUCUCAAAUUAAUUUAAUUAGAAUUUUAUAUUUAAGUUAAAAAGCUUAAAUAUAUUUAAAAGACGAGAAGACCCUAUAGAGUUUUAUAUUUAAAUUAAUAAUUUAUUUUUUAUUAAUAAUAUUUUAUUUAAAUAUUUUAUUGGGGUGAUAAAUAAAUUUAUUAAACUUUAUUUUUUAUUUAACAUUAAUUUAUGAAUAUUUGAUCCAUUAAUAUUGAUUAUAAGAAAAAAUUACCUUAGGGAUAACAGCGUUAUCUUUUUAGAGAGUUCAAAUCGAAAAAAAGGAUUGCGACCUCGAUGUUGGAUUAAAGAAAAUUUUUGGUGUAGAAGCUAAAAUAUUAAGUCUGUUCGACUUUUAAAACUUUACAUGAUCUGAGUUUAAACCGGUGUGAGCCAGGUUGGUUUCUAUCUUUAAAAAAAUUAAAUAUUUUAGUACGAAAGGACCAAAUAUUUAUAAAAUUUAUUUUUUUUUGAAUAU
rnacentral:rRNA from 1 species